rnacentral:rRNA from 1 species
ACCCCAAACCGACACAGGUGGUCAGGUAGAGAAUACCAAGGCGCUUGAGAGAACUCGGGUGAAGGAACUAGGCAAAAUGGUGCCGUAACUUCGGGAGAAGGCACGCUGAUAUGUAGGUGAAGUCCCUCGCGGAUGGAGCUGAAAUCAGUCGAAGAUACCAGCUGGCUGCAACUGUUUAUUAAAAACACAGCACUGUGCAAACACGAAAGUGGACGUAUACGGUGUGACGCCUGCCCGGUGCCGGAAGGUUAAUUGAUGGGGUC